rnacentral:rRNA from 1 species
CCUACGGGAGGCAGCAGUAGGGAAUUUUCGUCAAUGGGCGCAAGCCUGAACGAGCGAUGCCGCGUGAGUGAAGAAGGCCUUCGGGUCGUAAAGCUCUGUUGCGGGGGAAGAACGGCAGCAUCGGGAAAUGGGUGCUGACUGAUGGUGCCCCGCCAGGAAGUCACGGCUAACUACGUGCCAGCAGCCGCGGUAAUACGGAGGAUGCGAGCGUUAUCCGGAUUUAUGGGGUUUAAAGGGUGCGUAGGCGGGAUGCCAAGUCAGCGGUAAAAAUGCGGUGCUCAACGCCGACGAGCCGUUGAAACUGGCGUGCUGGAGUGGGUGAGAAGUAUGCGGAAUGCGUGGUGUAGCGGUGAAAUGCAUAGAUAUCACGCAGAACUACGAUUGCGAAGGCAGCAAACCGGCGCCCUACUGACGCUGAGGAACGAAAGCGUGGGUAUCGAACAGGAUUAGAUACCCGAGUAGUC